GACGAACGCUGGCGGCGUGCUUAACACAUGCAAGUCGAACGGAAAGGCCCUGCUUUUGUGGGGUGCUCGAGGGGCGAACGGGUGAGUAACCCGUGAGUAACCUGCCCUGGACUGGGUGAUAACUUCAGAAAACUGGGGCUAAUACCGGAUAGGUGCUCCUGCUGCAUGGUGGGGGUUGGAAAGUUUCGUCGUUUGGGGAUGUACUUAGGGCUUAUCAGCUUGUUGGGGGGAUAAUGGCCUACCAAGCCGUUGAUGAGUAGCCGGACUGAGAGGUUGAUCAGUCACAUGGGAAGUGGGACACGGACCAGACUACUACGGGAGGCAGCAGUGGGGAACAUUGGACAAUGGGCGAAAGCCUGAUCCAGCCAUGCCGCGUGUGUGAAGAAGGUCUUCGGAUUGUAAAGCACGUUAAGUUGUGAGGAAGGGCAGUAAGUUGAUACCUUGCGGUUGUGACGGUACCGACAGAAUAAGCACCGGCUAACUUCGUG
rnacentral:rRNA from 1 species